rfam:Streptomyces acidiscabies strain NCPPB 4445 genomic scaffold scf_64481_89.1, whole genome shotgun sequence.
CUUGACGGCCCCGAGCCACAGCGGCCGUUCGGGCGACCGGCGUGCCCCGUACGUGGCGAGGAGGGCCUGCGCCUC